rnacentral:rRNA from 1 species
GACGAACGCUGGCGGCGUGCCUAACACAUGCAAGUCGAACGGGGUAGCAAUACCCAGUGGCGGACGGGUGCGUAACACGUGAGGAACAUGUCUUUCGGCGGGGAAGUAGCCGGCCUAACGGCCGGGUAAUACCGCGUACGACGAUCGGGGCGCAUGCCUUGAUCGUGAAAGCAGCAAUGCACCGAUAGAGUGCCUCGCGGCCUAUCAGCUAGUUGGUGAGGUAAUGGCUCACCAAGGCGACGACGGGUAGCUGGUCUGAGAGGAUGAUCAGCCACAUUGGGACUGAGACACGGCCCAGACUCCUACGGGAGGCAGCAGUGGGGAAUAUUGCGCAAUGGGCGAAAGCCUGACGCAGCGACGCCGCGUGUGGGAUGAAGGUCUUCGGAUUGUAAACCACUGGUCGGGAGGGACGAAUGUAGAGCGGCCUAAUACGCCGAGCUAUUGACUGGUACCGGUGGAGGAAGCCACGGCUAACUCUGUGCCAGCCGCCGCC